rnacentral:rRNA from 1 species
AUUGAACGCUGGCGGCAGGCCUAACACAUGCAAGUCGAACGAGUGGCGGACGGGUGAGUAAUAUCUGGGAAACUGCCUGAUGGAGGGGGAUAACUACUGGAAACGGUAGCUAAUACCGCAUACCAUCAGAGUUGCCCAGAUGGGAUUAGUUAGUUGGUGGGUUAACGGCUCACCAAGGCGACGAACCCUAGCGGGUCUGAGAGGAUGACCAGCCACACUGGAACUGAGACACGGUCCAGACUCCUACGGGGGGCAGCAGUGGGGAAUAUUGCACAAUGGGCGAAAGCCUGAUGCGGCCAUGCCGGGUGUAUGAAGAAGGCCUUCGGGUUGUAAAGUACUUUCAGCGGGGAGGCGUUACCCGCAGAAGAAGCACCGGCUAACUCCGUGCCAGCAGCCGCGGUAAUUC